GCCGCGGUCUUCCUGCUGGUCACGCUCUCCACGUCGCACAUUGCCUCCUCCCUUCGCCCCGGCCUCGGGGUCUGCCGUGCCAGCGGCUAUCUCCCAGGCAGGUCCGGCAACUGCGAGAAGAGCAAUGACCCGGAUUGUUGCGAAGACGAUAAGAGCUUCGAGAAGGGCAAGGAUGGCGGUGGCCCGUCAGAGUGCGACAACUCCUACCACAGCGACAAGGAACUGGUCGUUGCGCUCUCCACCGGCUGGUUCAAGAACAUGGCACGUUGCGGCCAUCGCAUCAAGAUCACCGCUAACGACAAGUCCGUGUAUGUCAAGGUGGUGGACGAGUGCGACUCCGUGUAUGGCUGUGACGCCGACCACAACUACGAGCCUCCGUGCGAUAAUAACAUCGUUGAUGCCUCACCGGCGGUGUGGAAUGCCCUGGGGCUCGACCAGAACGUCGGCAUGGAUGAGAUCACCUGGUCAGAGGAGUAA
rnacentral:rRNA from 1 species